rnacentral:rRNA from 1 species
UAAUACCGCAUAAUAACUUGGACCGCAUGGUCCGAGUUUGAAAGAUGGCUUCGGCUAUCACUUUUGGAUGGUCCCGCGGCGUAUUAGCUAGAUGGUGGGGUAACGGCUCACCAUGGCAAUGAUACGUAGCCGACCUGAGAGGGUAAUCGGCCACAUUGGGACUGAGACACGGCCCAAACUCCUACGGGAGGCAGCAGUAGGGAAUCUUCCACAAUGGACGAAAGUCUGAUGGAGCAACGCCGCGUGAGUGAAGAAGGGUUUCG